rnacentral:rRNA from 1 species
AGGAGCUUGCUCCUUGGGUGACGAGUGGCGGACGGGUGAGGAAUACAUCGGAAUCUACCCUGAUCGUGGGGGAUAACGUAGGGAAACUGACGCUAAUACCGCAUACGAACUGAGGUUGAAAGCGGCGGACCGCAAGGCGUCGCGCGAUUGGAUGAGCCGAUGUCCGAUUAGCUAGUUGGCGGGGUAAUGGCCCACCAAGGCGACGAUCGGUAGCUGGUCUGAGAGGAUGAUCAGCCACACUGGAACUGAGACACGGUCCAGACUCCUACGGGAGGCAGCAGUGGGGAAUAUUGGACAAUGGGCGCAAGCCUGAUCCAGCCAUGCCGCGUGUGUGAAGAAGGCCUUCGGGUUGUAAAGCACUUUUGUUGGGAAAGAAAUCCUGUCGGUUAAUACCCGGCGGGGCUGACGGUACCCAAAGAAAAGCACCGGCUAACUCUGUGCCAGCAGCCGCGGUAAUACAGAGGGUGCAA